rnacentral:rRNA from 1 species
GAUGAACGCUUGCGGCGUGCCUAAUACAUGCAAGUCGAGCGAACAGACGAGGAGCUUGCUCCUCUGACGUUAGCGGCGGACGGGUGAGUAACACGUGGAUAACCUACCUAUAAGACUGGUAUAACUUCGGGAAACCGGAGCUAAUACCGGAUAAUAUAUUGAACCGCAUGGUUCAAUAGUGAAAGACGGUUUUGCUGUCACUUAUAGAUUGAUCCUCGCCGCAUUAGCUAGUUGGUAAGGUAACGGCUUACCAAGGCGACGAUGCGUAGCCGACCUGAGAGAGUGAUAGGCCACACUGGAACUGAGACACGGGCCAGACUGCUACGAGAGGAAGCAGUAGGGAAUCUUCCGCAAUGGGCGAAAGCCUGACGGAGCAACGCCGCGUGAGUGAUGAAGGUCUUCGGAGCGGAAAACUCUGUUAUUAGGGAAGAACAAAUGUGUAAGUAACUAUGCACGUCUUGACGGUACCUUAUCAGAAAGCCACGGCUAACAACGUG